rnacentral:tRNA from 1 species
CAAAUUAGAGCUUGAUUAAAGCGCUUUAUUUACAUUAAAGAGUUUAUUGUUAAGAUCAAUUAAUUUGA